CCGCAGUAGUCAUAUGCUUGUCUCAAAGCUUAAGCCAUGCAAGUCUCAGUACAGACUAUAUUAAAGUGAAACCGCAAAAGGCUCAGUAAACCAGUUUUAAUUUACUAGAGUUAACUUGACUGUGCUUGGAUAACUGUGGUAAUUCUAGAGCUAAUACAUGCAACAAAGCCGUGACCAUUCGUGGUCAGGGCGCUUUUAUUAGACCAAGACCAAUCGCCCGGCCAGUCCGGGCGUUAAGUUGAGGAACCUAGAUAACACAGCAGAUCGCAUGGUCUUUGUACCGGCGACCUAUCUUUCAAAUGCCUGACUUAUCAACUGACGAUGGUAGACUCUGUGUCUACCAUGGCUGUUACGGGUAACGGGGAAUCAGGGUUCGAUUCCGGAGAGGGAGCCUGAGAAACGGCUACCACAUCCAAGGAAGGCAGCAGGCACGCAAAUUACCCACUCCCGGAACGGGGAGGUAGUGACAAAAAAUAACGAUACGGGACUCGAUAUGAGGCCUCGUAAUCGGAAUGAGUACACUCUAAAUCCUUUAACAAAAAUCUAUUGGAGGGCAAGUCUGGUGCCAGCAGCCGCGGUAAUUCCAGCUCCAAUAGCGUAUAUUAAAGUUGUUGCGGUUAAAAAGCUCGUAGUUGGUUCUGCGUCCCGCGCUGUCGGUACACCGUUUGUCGGUGACACUGGCAUGACGCGGGAUGUCCUGUCGGUGGCGGCGGAGACCAUAUCGCCGUCGGCUAACACCGCGGCGUGUUGGCCUUCUGUCGCCGGCUUUAUCCUACCGCGGUGCUCUUCACUGAGUGUCGAGGUAGGCCGACACGUUUACUUUGAACAAAUUAGAGUGCUUAAAGCAGGCAAAAAUCUCUGCCAGAAUAGUGGUGCAUGGAAUAAUGGAACAGGACCUUGGUUCUAUUCUGUUGGUCUCCGGAACACAAGGUAAUGAUCAAUGUGGACAGGCGGGGGCAUUCGUAUUGCGGCGUUAGAGGUGAAAUUCUUGGAUCGUCGCAAGACGCACUAGAGCGAAAGCAAUUGCCAAGUAUGUCUUAAUUGAUCAAGAACGAAAGUUAGAGGUUCGAAGGCGAUCAGA
rnacentral:rRNA from 1 species